rnacentral:rRNA from 1 species
ACAGCAGUAGCCACGGGAAUACGAAGGGGGCUAGCGUUGUUCGGAAUUACUGGGCGUAAAGCGCACGUAGGCGGAUAUUUAAGUCAGGGGUGAAAUCCCAGAGCUCAACUCUGGAACUGCCUUUGAUACUGGGUAUCUUGAGUAUGGAAGAGGUAAGUGGAAUUGCGAGUGUAGAGGUGAAAUUCGUAGAUAUUCGCAGGAACACCAGUGGCGAAGGCGGCUUACUGGUCCAUUACUGACGCUGAGGUGCGAAAGCGUGGGGAGCAAACAGGAUUAGAUACCCCUGUAGUCCCUGUCUCUUAUAC